UGAUUUCCGCGUUAGGGAUUGCAGCGGCAUCCUUUUUUAGCGGCUGGGCCGACUAAAAAAGAUACAGCGGAAAGCCCGCCCCGCC
rfam:Arenibacter nanhaiticus strain CGMCC 1.8863 genome assembly, contig: Ga0066783_106